rnacentral:rRNA from 1 species
CNUUGCGAGAUUAGCCAGNANGUCUAGUACAUACCUUCUCCAAGGGUGAAACCGCGAAUGGCUCAUUAAAUCAGUUAUGGUUCCUUAGAUCGUACCUUACUACUUGGAUACCUGUGGUAAUUCUAGAGCUAAUACAUGCAUCAGAGCUCCGACCCCGUCGUUUCAAACCGGCGGGGGAAGAGCGCUUUUAUUAGACCAAAACCAAUCGGACUUUCAUUAGUCCGUGCAAAAAUUGGUGGUGACUCUGUAUAACUUUGGGCUGAUCGCACGGGCUCGUCCCGGCGACGCAUCUUUCAAGUGUCUGCCUUAUCAACUGUCGAUGGUAGGUUACGCGCCUACCAUGGUCGUAACGGGUGACGGGGAAUCAGGGUUCGAUUCCGGAGAGGGAGCCUGAGAAACGGCUACCACAUCCAAGGAAGGCAGCAGGCGCGCAAAUUACCCAAUCCCGGCACGGGGAGGUAGUGACGAAAAAUAACAAUACGGGACUCUUUUGAGACCCCGUAAUUGGAAUGAGUACACUCUAAAUCCUUUAACGAGGAUCGAUUGGAGGGCAAGUCUGGUGCCAGCAGCCGCGGUAAUUCCAGCUCCAAUAGCGUAUAUUAAAGUUGUUGCGGUUAAAAAGCUCGUAGUUGGAUCUCAGUUCCAGACGUGCGGUCCGCUUUAACGGCGGCUACCGCCCGCUUCUGUGGACAAAAUUGCCGGCUUCCCCCGAUGAUCUUCACCGGUUGUCCCGGGUGGCCGGCACGUUUACUUUGAAAAAAUUAGAGUGCUCAAAGCAGGCAUAUGCAAGCCUGAAUAAUCGUGCAUGGAAUAAUGGAAUACGACUUCGGUCCUAUUUUGUUGGUUUUCUGGAUGCGAGGUGAUGAUUAAGAGGGACAGACGGGGGCAUUCGUAUUGCGGCGCUAGAGGUGAAAAUUCUUGGACCGCCGCAAGACGAACUACUGCGAGANUUUUUUNNCCAAGAAAA